rnacentral:tRNA from 1 species
UCCCUUGGAGCUCAGUUGGUAAAGAAUCUGCCUCCAAUGCAGGAGACCUGGGUUCGAUUCCUGGGUUGGGAA